rnacentral:sRNA from 1 species
CGGUAGAGAUUGGCACCGAUAAAGUCCAAUCAAUUUUAAGUUAAAAAGGAAGCAAGAUG